GGAGUAAAUUGUUUGGUCGCGUGCUUAGGCAUGAGGAAAGUCCGUGCUCCAUAGAGCAAGAUGCUGGAUAACACCCAGUGGGGGCGACCCUAAGGAAAGUGCAACAGAAAGAAACCGCCAGAUUAUCUGGUAAGGAUGGAAAGGUGAGGUAAGAGCUCACCAGCAUUUAGGCGACUAAAUGGCUAUGUAAACCCCAUCUGGAGCAAGACCAAAAGGGAACUAAAAAAGGCAGCUGCUCGUUGCUGUUCCAAAGGUAGGUCGCAAGAACCUAUUGGCAACAAUAGGUCUAGAUAGAUGACCAUAUAAACAGAACACGGCUUAUAGAUUUACUCUAUAC
rnacentral:RNase_P_RNA from 2 species